rnacentral:rRNA from 1 species
CAAUAGCGUAUAUUAAAGUUGUUGCAGUUAAAAAGCUCGUAGUUGGAUUUGUGGCGUACGGUGUGUUCCGGGCACUUGUUGUCUGAGUAACCUGCUGUUGCCAUCCUUGGGUGGAACCUGUGUGGCAUUAGGUUGUCGUGCAGGGGGUGCCCAUCAUUUACUGUGAAAAAAUUAGAGUGUUCAAAGCAGGCUUAUGCCGUUGAAUAUAUUAGCAUGGAAUAAUGAGAUGGACUUUUUUGCUAUUUUGUUGGUUUGCGCAAAGAGGUAAUGAUUAAUAGGGACAGUUGGGGGUAUUCGUAUUCCAUUGUCAGAGGUGAAAUUCUUGGAUUUUUGGAAGACGAACUACUGCGAAAGCAUUUACCAAGGAUGUUUUCAUUAA